GGCGUGAUCGUAAAGUGGUUAGUAAAUUGCGUUGAGGCAGCAAUAACCCAGGUUCGAAUCCUGGUCACGGCA
rnacentral:tRNA from 1 species